CGCUAAGAAGCUGAACAGGCCACAGCGUUAGCCUUUUAAGCUAAAAACUGGUGACUACCGCCCACCCUUAGCGA
rnacentral:tRNA from 1 species